GUAGGUGGCAAGCGUUGUCCGGAAUUAUUGGGCGUAAAGCGCGCGCAGGCGGUUCUUUAAGUCUGAUGUGAAAGCCCACGGGCUCAACCGUGGAGGGUCAUUGGAAACUGGAGAACUUGAGUACAGAAGAGGAAAGCGGAAUUCCACGUGUAGCGGUGAAAUGCGUAGAGAUGUGGAGGAACACCAGUGGCGAAGGCGGCUUUCUGGUCUGUAACUGACGCUGAGGCGCGAAAGCGUGGGGAGCAAACAGGAUUAGAUACCCUGGUAGUCCACGCCGUAAACGAUGAGUGUUAAGUGUUAGGGGGUUUCCGCCCCUUAGUGCUGCAGCUAACGCAUUAAGCACUCCGCCUGGGGAGUACGGCCGCAAAGGCUG
rnacentral:rRNA from 1 species